CCCUUAGAUGCUCUGGGCCGCACGCGCGCUACACUGAUGCAUUCAACGAGCUUAUAACCUUGGCCGAGAGGCCUGGGCAAUCUUGUUAACGUGCAUCGUGAUAGGGAUAGAUUAUUGAAAUUAUUAAUCUUGAACGAGGAAUUCCUAGUAAACGCAGAUCAUCAAUCUGCAUUGAUUACGUCCCUGCCCUUUGUACACACCGCCCGUCGCACCUACCGAUUGGAUGGUCCGGUGAAGCCUCGGGAUUGUGGUUCUUGCCGCUUUAUUGUGGCGUGACCGCGAGAACUUGUCUAAACCUUAUCAUCUAGAGGAAGGUGAAGUCGUAACA
rnacentral:rRNA from 1 species